UACGGAAGGCAGCAGUGGGGAAUAUUGCACAAUGGGCGCAAGCCUGAUGCAGCCAUGCCGCGUGUAUGAAGAAGGCCUUCGGGUUGUAAAGUACUUUCAGUCGUGAGGAAGGUGUUAAGGUUAAUAACCUUAGCAAUUGACGUUAGCGACAGAAGAAGCACCGGCUAACUCCGUACCAGCAGCCGCGGUAAUACGGAGGGUGCGAGCGUUAAUCGGAAUUACUGGGCGUAAAGGGCACGCAGGCGGUUAAUUAAGUUGGAUGUGAAAUCCCCGGGCUUAACCUGGGAAUGGCAUUCAAGACUGGUUAGCUAGAGUCUUGUAGAGGGGGUUAGAAUUCCAUGUGUAGCGGUGAAAUGCGUAGAGAUGUGGAGGAAUACCGGUGGCGAAGGCGGCCCCUGGACAAAGACUGACGCUCAUGUGCGAAAGCGUGGGGAGCAAAC
rnacentral:rRNA from 1 species